ACACGACUACAUUAGAUACCCGGGUAGUCCCAGCCCUAAACGAUGCGCGUUAGGUGUAUCGGUGACCACGAGUCACCGAGGUGCCGAAGGGAAACCGUGAAACGUGCCGCCUGGGAAGUACGGUCGCAAGGCUGAAACUUAAAGGAAUUGGCGGGGGAGCACCACAACGGGUAGAGCCUGCGGUUUAAUUGGACUCAACGCCGGGAAGCUCACCGGAUAAGACAGCGGAAUGAUUGCCGGGCUGAAGACCCUGCAUGACCAGCUG
rnacentral:rRNA from 1 species